rnacentral:tRNA from 1 species
GCGCUCGUAGCUCAGCUGGAUAGAGCACUAGAUUACGAAUCUAGGGGUCAGGAGUUCGAAUCUUCUCGAGCGCACCA